AUUGAACGCUGGCGGCAUGCUUUACACAUGCAAGUCGAACGGUAACAGGGAGCUUGCUCCGCUGACGAGUGGCGAACGGGUGAGUAAUAUAUCGGAACGUACCCAAGCGUGGGGGAUAACGUAACGAAGGUUACGCUAAUCCCGCAUACGAUCUAUGGAUGAAAGCAGGGGACCUUCGGGCCUUGUGCUCCUGGAGCGGCCGAUAUCUGAUUAGCUAGUUGGUGAGGUAAAGGCUCACCAAGGCGACGAUCAGUAGCUGGUCUGAGAGGACGACCAGCCACACUGGAACUGAGACACGGUCCAGACUCCUACGGGAGGCAGCAGUGGGGAAUUUUGGACAAUGGGCGCAAGCCUGAUCCAGCAAUGCCGCGUGAGUGAAGAAGGCCUUCGGGUUGUAAAGCUCUUUUGUCAGGGAAGAAACGGCUGUGGCUAAUAUCCACGGCUAAUGACGGUACCUGAAGAAUAAGCACCGGCUAACUACGUG
rnacentral:rRNA from 1 species